GCCUCAUACAGGGGGAUAACAGUUAGAAAUGACUGCUAAUACCGCAUAAGCGCACAGUACCGCAUGGUACAGUGUGAAAAACUCCGGUGGUAUGAGAUGGACCUGCGUCUGAUUAGCUAGUUGGUGAGGUAAUGGCCCACCAAGGCGACGAUCAGUAGCCGACCUGAGAGGGUGACCGGCCACAUUGGGACUGAGACACGGCCCAAACUCCUACGGGAGGCAGCAGUGGGGAAUAUUGCACAAUGGGGGAAACCCUGAUGCAGCGACGCCGCGUGAGUGAAGAAGUAUUUCGGUAUGUAAAGCUCUAUCAGCAGGGAAGAAAAUGACGGUACCUGACUAAGAAGCCCCGGCUAACUACGUG
rnacentral:rRNA from 1 species